AAUGGGCGAGAGCCUGAACCAGCCAUGCCGCGUGCAGGAAGACGGCCCUACGGGUUGUAAACUGCUUUUGUUUGGGAAUAAAAGCGCCUACGUGUAGGCGACUGAAGGUACCAGAUGAAUAAGCAUCGGCUAACUCCGUGCCAGCAGCCGCGGUAAUACGGAGGAUGCGAGCGUUAUCCGGAUUUAUUAGGUUUAAAGGGUGUGUAGGCGGAAGUCUAAGUCAGUGGUGAAAUCCCCCAGCUUAACUGGGGAACUGCCAUAGAUACUGGAUUUCUUGAGUACAGUUGAAGUAGGCGGAAUGUGUAAUGUAGCGGUGAAAUGCUUAGAUAUUACACAGAACACCGAUUGCGAAGGCAGCUUGCUAAGCUGUUACUGACGCUGAUGCACGAAAGCGUGGGUAGCGAA
rnacentral:rRNA from 1 species